GGUUGCCUGGGAAACACGCAUAAGUAGAAGACUGGUUAGGGAUGUAGGCGGAGACAUCCUUGAGGUCUUUGCUGCCAAACCUUUCAGCCUCAGAGCUGGAGCCAGAGGUAAGCUGCUACUGCAGACUGCUUUUGGUCAACCAGGUGGGGCAAUUUUGAGCUGUGAUCAUGGAACAAACAUUUAACUUUGUAAAACAGAGUAAAAGAGUGCUUUUCAAGUUAAGUUGGAAAAGACAGAAUCCUAGCAUAACUGUUCUCUGAGAAGCUCUACAAAACAGCUGAUCCAAACAGAUGCAGAGACCCACAGCCAAACCGUAUAUGGAGCUUGGGGAGUUUCGUGAAAGAAUCAGGAAAAGUGUUGAGGGACCAGAAGAGGAUAGGGACUCCACAGAAUACCAACAUAGUCAACUCACCUGGACCUUUGAUGCCACCCAGAGACUGAAUGGCCAACCAAAGACCAAACAUGGACUAGACCUAAGAACCCUGCAUAUAUGUAGCAGAUGUACAGCUUAGACUUCAUGCAGGUCCUCCAACAACUGGAAGAGGAGAUGCCCCUGAAUUUGUUGCCUAUUUGUGGACCUCAUUACCCUAACUGGACUACAUUAUCUAGUCUCAGUGAGAGAUGAUGUACCUAGUGAUGUAGUGCAGUGAGUGAUAUGCUAUGGUUUUGUGUGUGUGUGUGUGUGUGUGUGUGUGUGUGUGUGUGUGUGUUUGAUACCCAGAGAGUUCCCCCUUCUUAGAGUAUAAGGGGAAGGAGGAAUGGAGGGAGGAUCUGUGAGGGGGAACUGGGAGGAGGGGUGAGCUGUUAUUGAGAUGUUAAUUGAUUAAUUAAUUAAUUAAUUAAUUAAUUAAAAAGAAAAGAAUUACCAUGAUCAUGGUGUCUCUUUACAUCAACAGGUCACUGACUAGGACAGUUGUAAUAUAUUUUCAUUGUCUACUUGUCAUUUGAAGGACACUUAGGUUGUUUACAUUUCCUAGCUAUUGUAAGUAUGGCUGCCAUGAACAUGGUUGAGAAAGUAUGUGUGGAGUAGGAUGUCAAGUCCUUAGAGCAUAUUCCAAGGAGUUGAGUUUUAAGGUAGACCUACUUAUAGCUUUUUGGAGAAUUCCUCAUCCUGACUUCUUUAGUAGCUUCACUAGUUUGUUUCCCUUUCCCCACUUCCUCACUAGUAGUUGUUGUUAGUUGUUUUAUUGAUUUUAGCCAUUUGUAACUGGGGUAAGAUAAAGUCUCAAAUCCAUUUUAAUUUAUAGUUCCAUAAUGACUAAGAAUAUCUGAUUGUAUUAUAAAUAUGUAACCUUUCUAAAAGUUAAAAAGAUUAUUUUUUAGCUCUCAUCCCUCAUCAAAGAAUUGCAGCAGAGUGAGGCUACUAUAUGGAUCCACAACUAGUCAAAUUGUAAAAAGUAAGUGACCAUAGAAUGAGUGUUCUACCACAAUUGGUAAAUCUGUAAUACAACCCCUAUACCUAAGACUCAGAAAAAAAUCAUAGAAGAAGAGAUGGAAAUAUUAUAAUAGUCUAAAGGACUAGGACACUUUCUGGUAGACAUUGUCUUCUAGGUAUUAAAGGAAAGCCAUGCCUAUGAAAUCUCAGCAAUAAAGUUGCCUAAAUAAAACCUAUGUAUGAUAA
rnacentral:lncRNA from 1 species